rnacentral:lncRNA from 1 species
AAGUUGUAAGGAAGACCCUAUAUGAUAAUGUAACAAGGAAGAAUUUUUCCCCCUUGUAUUUAAUGUUAAGAGUGUAAGAGGUCUCUGUGGUGUAAUUCAUUGUAUUUUUUGUUUAUUUUAGCUCUAAUUUGUAUGUAAUUAUGCUGUAACACUUCUUACCACACCAAGAGAGAAGUCUGUUCCACUAAACUUCAUACUUCAAGUUGCAGGAAAAUACUAAUUGAAUACACAUAAUAGGUCAAUUUUAGAGAGUGGAUAAAGAAAGAUCAAGGAUCAGAAUGUAGCAGAGGAAGGGUUUGGAGUCAAACAGUCAAAGAAACCUUAUCCAUUACUCCUCAAGGUAUUUAAUCUAUACAGAGCCAUAAGUAAACUAGAAAUCAAUAUGAAACAAGAGGAAAGGGUGUUUCAAGGGAAAGGAGACCACUGGAGAAUAAAGACAUGAAAGGUAAGUGAAAAGGUAAGAGAAAAAAAGGAAAAGAAAGCCAGUAUUCAGAAGGAGGCAUCGGAUAACUAAAGGAUAUAGAUUUUAUGAUGAGACCCAAAGAAAUACGGCUUUUAAAAAUUAAUCAGAGAACAGGCAAUCAAUGACCCUGUUUUAACCCACCCCAGUUAAAUAGCAUACUGAAAGUGAUUUGGCCAUAUUCAGAGAAGGAAAGAUCAACCACACAGAGCUGAUCCAUAUAUCAAAAAGAAGUCAGAAAAAAUAGAACAGUUUUAUUAGUGAAGAGUAUAGUAUUUUGAAUUUUCUAAGGAACUUGCCUCAACAAUAUUUUAAGUGAAAUAAAAGUUAUUUUGUUCUAUAUAACAAAAAUGAGUAUUUCAUAAUAUUUUCAAGGUUGGAAAACUUUAAAGUAAUGAUUAGUUUGAUACCAUGAGAACCAAAUUUUUUAACAUUGAUAUGGAUUUGGUUCAUGAACUAUGUUCUUCUCCAACUUGAGGGUGCAAUUUGAACUAGCAAAUUCCCACAGGUCAAUAAGGAAAACAAAUAUCUAUGCCAGCAAUAAAAACAACAUUUCUCAUUUUAUGUUUACAGGGUUUUAACAUCAUAAUGAAGUUUAGAUCACACUUGCCCAAAAUAAGUGAUUAUGAUGCCAAAGCCCAGUGGCAAGGAAAUAACCAAACAAUAUGCCUAAGUUGUUUUCUUAUUCGACUGAUUUUAUAGAAUGUGCUAGACCUGAAGAUAAGCUCUGCUACUUGCCUUCCUGAAAAUAUGCUACAGAUUAAAUAUUUUCUUGUGAGAUUUUAAUGAAAGACUGGUUUUAAUUAUAUUCACUUACUAUGCAAAUUAGGUUUGAAUCAGCCCAUUCAUUAAUAUCCUAUCUGGGAUAGCAAAAUAAAUACACCACCUAAAUUUUAUUAAACAUGCUUAGAGGUCUGAGGUAUUACAGAAUGUGAAUCUUUAAUUAUGAUACAAAUUAACAGAUAGUCUUAUUGCUUGAUAUAAUGGUUCUUGUUACCUGAUGUAAAUACUUGCAAAUAUUGCACAUAUGCAGGGUUUCUUUCUUUUGUUGACAUUAACAAGAAAAAUCUCUUUAUAAAGUUCAUUUUCAUUUACAAUUGUAGAUUAGUCCUGAACGUUUUUCCUCAUUACAUGCAAAUCAUUAAUCACACAAAAUGAAUGCAGCAUCACUUUCUGUUCUCCAGAAUGAUGGGCUUUGUGAUGAAUACGUAUUAUCAUAAAUCUUUCUAAAAGAGGUCCUAAUAGCAUCUGAUAACUUGCAACAUCAGUGAGUAAAAUGUAAAGUACACUCUCUUCCACUAGCUUUUGUAUCUGAAGCCAUCAUCAUCAAUUUUCACAAGGACAACUUAAAACACAAGUACGUAAAUACAAAGAUCCAUAUAACCAGUAAUGCAAAACACAUUUUCUCAUUUUCUACCUUUUUUCUCAUGAACAAGAUUUCCAAUGCCCUUUGUUUCUCUGUUGUUCCCCUCCUGUUCUAAUAUCAUUAGACCCUGAUGCUCAAUAAUUAGUUCCUUAUGCCUUGGUAAAACAAAUUUUCAGUAUUUUUUUGUUCAGAUACAGAGUAUUUUCAAACAUUAAAUCAAAGAAAAGAUGAAAAAUAAUUUAUUUUGAACACUAAGAUAUUUUUAUCAUUGUAUGACAUUUUAAGGGUUUUAAAUGCACUUUUUGAACCUUCCACUGACCAAUUUUGAUGGGCUUAAAUAGUAGGAUUUAGGAUAUUUAUGUAUACACUCACCAUGAAACAAGCCCAGUUUUCUCAUACCACCUAAGCAGUCCUGCAUGUGCUCAUUGCCAGGGUGAACCUGGACUCAGCAUCCUUGUGAGAUUAUUCAAGAGAAUACGAUAAAUAUUCAUAGGUCAAGACAGAAAAAACAGAUAUUUUUAUAGACCCAAGAGCAAAUAAAAACAACCUCAUAAAAAUGUAUUAUAUUCACGUUUAUUAAGCUGCAUGUUGGAGUCUUCUAAAAUAAAUUUCCUUUUACAAAUUAUCUAAUUUUGACCUCUGCAUUUAAAGUCAAAAUAUUUUUAUAAAAGGCACCAUUUCCAGGAAACAUUGAGAUCAUUUAAGGCAUAAUAUGGAAGACACGUUCAUAUAAAUGUCAUCUAUUGAUUUUUGUUGUUGUGUUUCCAACUUGAGCUAAUUACAGAAUCACCAUAAAAAGAUAAAAGUGUCAGGCUCAGUGACUCACGCCUAUAAUCUUAGCUACUUGGAAGGCUGAGGUGGGAGGAUCGCUUGAGGCCAGGAGUUUGAGACCAGUCUGGGCAACAAAGUAAGACCCUUUCUCUAAAAGAAUAAAAGAUGGAGAUAAAAUUAGCCAAGUGUGGUGGUGUGUACCUGUAGUCUCUGCUACUCAGGAGGCUGAGGCAGGAGAAUCACUUGAGUCCAGGUGUUCAAGGCUGCAGUGAGCCUUGAUCUCAGCACUGUACUCCAGCCUGAGUGAUGGAGUGAGAUCCCAUUUCUAGAAAAAAAAAAAAAAAAGACAUAAAAACAUCAGGUUCAAAAAUUUUCUACAGUUGAGAUACUUAGAGCAAAAUAAUUGCUGAGUCUUCUACUGGGGAAAAAAUACAAAUAGAAAGUUAUUCAAAACUCUCAAGUGUUUCAUAAUUAUUAUAAAAUAGUAAUAAUUUUCUGAGUGCCUAUAACUAUGAUCCUAGCACUAUUUAAGCUCUGACUCCAUUGACCUCUCCAAAUCCAGAUAAUAUGUGAGGUAGGCUUUGAAACCCCAUUUUAUAAAUCAGCAAAAUGAAUCUCAGGGCUUAUGUAGUCAUGCUGUAUUAAAUAAUUGGCCAAGGAAAAAAUCAGAAAUCAGCUUCGUCUGUCUUCAAACCCAGCUUCUUCCAACAUAUGCCUUUGUAUUGCUUAUCUUCAUUUCUCCUUGUUUUAAAUUUUAAGAGGUGGUUUUAGCUUUCUUCUACAAAUAGACAUGAAAGGUUAACUCAGAUAUAUAGUAGAUAAACAGCUUAGGAAGAUCUACAGCUGACCAAUUCAUAAGGAUCACAUCACAGCGGAUAUUUUGUGUGUUUUAUAUACCAUUAUAUAGAAAUUGAUGUUGAAAAAAUUAUACUACUGCUUUCAAUGUCAUCAAUUUUUAAUAUACUAAAAAUAUGUAAUAAUAAGUAAAAUUGAUUUAAAUGUAUUGUAUUACAAUUAAUUUUUAUCUGCAAUUUGUAUCUUCAGUUGCAUAAAUUUGUAUCUUCAAUUGACCCUAAAGAUUUUCCAAGGAACAAUGAAUUACGCUGUCACUUAAAGGCAUUUACAAUGUAAUUCGUGGUCGGCAGGGCACAAUGUUUUCAGCACUUUGGGAGGCCAAGACGGGAGGAUCGCUUGAGUCCAGGAGGUCAAGACCACCAUGGGUAACAUAACAAGACCCAGUCUCCACAAAAAAAAAAUAAAAAAUUAGCCUAGAGCAGUGAUUUGCACCUGUAAUCGCAGCUACUAGGAAGACCGAGGCAAGAGGAUCACUUGAACUUAGGAGGCUGAGGCUGCAAUGAGCCAUGAUUGCAUCACUGCACUCCAGACUGAGUGACAAGAGCAGGACUGUGUCUCAAAAUAAUAAUUAAUAACCCGUCUCAAAAUAAUAAUAAUAAUAAUAAUUUGAGGUCAAUUUAAAAUAUAUUUUUUUAUGAUGGAAACACUAAAAAAUAUAGAUCACCUAUAUUAUGUAUCAAAAUAACAACAAAUUGUGUUCAAUGAUGACAGUAAAAUCAAGUGAGUUAUGGUAUCCACUUUUGAUCCACUUAUGAAACAUAAUAUGUUUGAGACAGCACUGUACUGAAUAUCCCUAAACUUGUAAAUAAACUAGUUAGAUAACCAAAGUAUUGUUUUCUCAUUAUCAUGCAGUAUUAAAAAGUUUUGUGGAUGAUAUUUAGGAUUCCUGAAAUUUGAGGCACAAGCUUAGAUCAGGCUUAUAAUCCUGGUGCUCUAACCUUACACUCUUAGCACAUAGAGUCUAGAUAUUGCUAUUAUGAAAGGUCAUUACAC